UACGAAGGGGGCUAGCGUUGUUCGGAUUUACUGGGCGUAAAGUGCACGUAGGCGGAUCGUUAAGUCGGGGGUGAAAUCCUGGAGCUCAACUCCAGAACUGCCUUCGAUACUGGCGAUCUUGAGUCCGGAAGAGGUGAGUGGAACUCCUAGUGUAGAGGUGGAAUUCGUAGAUAUUAGGAAGAACACCAGUGGCGAAGGCGGCUCACUGGUCCGGUACUGACGCUGAGGUGCGAAAAGCGUGGGGGAGCAAAACAGG
rnacentral:rRNA from 1 species